GGAAACAAAACAAAGACAAGUCUGACAACGUCAGCGCUCAGUUACACAGCACAGGAAUUGUCUGUCACAAUAUCUUUUAUUUUUAGUGAAUGUUUGUGGAAGUCCUGGCUCCUGCAACCAUGGAAACUGAUCCCUAACAAAGGCAAGGCCGCCUGGAGGGACUGCCCGCACCUGUCCCACCUACAGCAACUCCCCAGCCUUGUGCUGAAUCAUUUUGUGUUAAUCCUGCUGUGCUUGCAGUCCUCAACUUGUUCUUUAGGAAGAAAUGUAUGUUUACAUAUGUAUUUCCCAUCUCUACAGGUAGGACAUAACACAGGGGUUCAAGGCAUUUUAGGAGUUCUUAUUUUGUGGCUGGCUCUGUCUAUGCCACUUUCCAUGCACAUGUGGAAACCAUAGCCAGGUCUGCAUGCUGGUCAUGGGCAUGUGAGCAUCAGCAUAUUCCCUCUGGGAUACAGAACAGGCAGAUGUCUGCCUGGAAAUGUAGGGCACAGAACAGCAGCAGCUUUGUAACUUAGAAGCAGGAGCUGCAGCUCUAGAAAGGAAAGCUCUGCAUGCGCUGUAGGAUUGUGUAGUCCAUCCAUUACACUUCCCUGAAUUAGGGAGGAAUUUAGUUUUUCUGUAAAAAUUAAUUUACUCGUGAGUCUUUUUCAUCAAAAUGUAUGAAGCCAGUUUGUUAGAGUCAUUUCUGACCAGUAGUAUGUAUGAGUAUCUGUUGAGCCCAAUAUCCAGUAUAGCUGAAGUAUCUGAGUUGCAAAAAAGAAAGGGUUUUUGUAUGGAGGAGUAGCAAGCCACAACCUUGGGUAAGUGCCAGCCCAGCACCCAGGUUUUGCAGCCUGCUGCACUGCCUGCAGACUUCUUGAGAGAGUUGAAGGAGCCAAGAACUUCUUUUUGUGGUUAGCUCUAACAAGCAAGAUCCUGAGCAAAUGAUAAAAAGUAAUGUCAAUGCCAUGAGCUGAUGUCAGUACUAAUGCUGAAAAUAAGUGAUUAACCCUCUCCUUCUUGGUCAGAAUUCUGUAAGUCAGAUGCUACAAAACUGGCAUGCAACGCAGAUAUAUAUGGAUGGGAACAGAAGUAUGGACAUGGAGCCAGCUGUGAAAUGCCAUCCAAACUCAGUCCCAGUUGAAUGUUGCUGCCCACUGAAGUUAGAAACAGGAUCUCUAAAGAUGUGAGCACCUCAUUGAAAAAUCCAUUACAAAGAGCUAUAAGUCAAAGAAAAAA